CCGCACGGUCUACUGCUCUCCGUCUCUCCUUGUGCGCCCUCUGUGGCUGUGCUGGAAAAAGACGGAGAGAGCCCUCGAAGGCAUCGAUGCCACUGUGCCUGCACGAACUCCCCCUCCCCCCCCAAACACACACAGACGCACACGCCUGUGUGCGCAUAGAUUCACCUGGACACUUUCAUAGAUUGCCAGCCGCGUCAUUGGACACGGUCGCGCUGCUUCUUUUUGCUGGCAGCUCGUGCAGAGACACAGUGACGCCAGAACAGGAACAAAACUUAGUGAAAGAAUCCAGGUGGGCUGCCUCGAUCAAGGUGCACGCCCUCCUUAUGCCCCCGCUAGCGCCGAGGCGAAGGCGGAGGACGAGUGAGCUGAAGUUCCGCCACACGAAGCGGCGUCGAGUAUCUGGGGCACUGGUGAAGCGAGGCAUCGAGAAAGAGUUCGACCGCACACUGCCCUUUUGGCGGUGCUUUAUCGAUCUUCGGCUCACCACUGGACGCGUGCCGGAGGUAGUGACGCGACACACGCAGGUGCUGUGCCGCAUUCCUUGUAAGGUCUUCAAGCGUGUUGAUGUGGUGUGGGCACGCACCACUGUGCAACUGAGACCUGUGCAUGCGCCGACGUGGCAGGAGCGCAAAAACGGGCCGCGGCCGCCACGCGCGAGCUACCCGGUGCCGGCGAAAGCAGCCGCAGAGCGUGCCGUGGCACAAGCUAGAGCAACCACUGGGACGCCCCCGUCAGGCACCGACGGCGAUAGGGCGCUUCGCGUGUACACGAUUGACACGGUUCACUUUGUCCAUGAGGACGCCUACAAGAGAGGGAGGGGUAGCGAUCAUAGCUUUCAUGUGCAAUCGGUGGUGUUACGCGACGCACCGCACAUUCUGCAAUGUGUCGGCGGCUCUAUGGUGUCCUUUUCCUUGAUCAUCUACACGUCCCUGCGCCUCGCGCACGCGUGCGACGCGCGAAAGUGCACGCCCCAGCAACUAGGUCGUCAGCUUGAGGCUGUCAUGACUGCCUACGACGAGAGCAGCUCCACCAUGGCAACCGAAUCAACGAGCCAGCGCGCAAACAACACCUCCUCUGCCGCCGUUGCAACGGGCACAGGGCACGGUGGAGGCGCUGCUCAGCAAGUCCACUCUACCACCCAGCCCGGAAGGGCAUCUCUUGCCCACGACGGCGAUUUCAAGAGCAGCUCUGAAAUCGCUGCCUUUUCGGUACUACGGGCGUGGUGUCCGCCUCCGACAGUGCGUGUGCUCAUUCUCGGCAUGGGCGGCAACAGCAUGGCUCACGCGUUGCGCGUCGUCCUCGGCGCAGACGCACUCAUCGAGGUCGUUGAGGUGGAGCCGGCGGUUGUCGCGUCUUGCAUGCAAAUGGGCACGCUUCACGACUCUGACACCAAAACGAAGGUGCACUUGCAAGAUGCAGACCAGUGCCUUGCAAACCUUCCACCCACCGCGUACGACUUCAUUUACAUGGACAUCUUCGAGCCAAUGCAAGCGACUAUGCGCAACCUGCACCCGUGGGUGCUGGCAACACGCACACUUCUCAAGCCAGGCGGUCUCUUGGUGAUGAAUGACCAUCAUCUGCCCUCUGCUGCGGGUGUGGCACCGUACGCGAAGGUCUUCGGUGAAGGGAAUGUGCAGGCGGUGAACCUGCGUGGGUGGAGCGAGAGCAUCGUUGUUUGCGUCGCGCCAGGCGAUGCAUCGACGGACAAGUACUCACUGAACGUUUCCAAGACACAUGCAGACAUCGCAUUCAACAUUUACGAGACGCUUGUACCCGGGUGGCUGCCUCACCUUUCGUGGUUGGUGAAGGCGAAGACGUAUCGACACGAAGGCGUUCGCUGCCGUCUGUGGACGUCGUGACAGAAAUGGAUCUCGGGAACGCAUGAGGAGGGGUGUUGUCUGACACAUCAUCGUCGUUUUUUUUUGUGUGUGCAUGUGUAUGCUUUUAUCAUGGGCUGUGGUCACCCAAACGUCGCAGUUGUGUAUCACGGUGCUCCGGCGGCCGAGCAUAUUAGUUGCCACAUCUACAAACAAAAGCACACACGCAACAAAACACAUGAGGAGGUGGCUGGCUCGGUGCUGGCGUCGAAUCUUACUGAAAGCGCCGCGGCACGCAGUCAUGGCAGUGCUGAAACCGCCUCGACGCCUUGGAACCAGAUAGAUGAGCAACGAGAGCUUUCCAGUCUGUCAAAUAGGAAACAGCAGGAGGGGUACGCGUGCUCAUCGCGCUGUUGCGGCUCUCUCAGCUUCACGAAGUCCUUCUGGGGGCCUAAGAAGGUGCGCACGGGUUUGGGCGUGCACGCGCUUCCUCUAGGGCUGGCAGAGAGGAAGAGGCUGGACCCUUUUCCUCUGCAGUGGAUAGCGCGGCGACGCCCAUUGCUUUCCGUAGAUGGGAUUCCAGUAUGUUCGUGCCACAAUGUCCCUAGCGACAGUGCCAUACCCUCCACGGCCUCUAUCUUUGUUACUCGCACUGUCCUCCCUGUGUUUCCCGGUGACUCCACGAUGGCAAACGACGCUGUGGGUCGCUCGACACGUGAUUUCCGAGUCAGUUACCGAGAAGGUGCGAAAACAGCGUGCAAGCACCGGCCCCCUACCUUCGCGACUACCACCCCCACCCUACCCACUCUCUCUCUCUCGCUGCUCGCAAG
rnacentral:misc_RNA from 1 species